rnacentral:sRNA from 1 species
AUUUGUUGCGGACAAAUAAAAUGAAUGUGCGCGUCAAUACCACCAGCCGUUAGAAUUUGUCCUUCACCUGCAAUAACUUCUGUGCCGGGUCCUACUUCAAUAUCAACAUUGUCUUGAAUAUCAGGGUUACCGGCUUUACCAAUAAUGGCAAUACGCCCGUUUUUAAUACCAACAUCGGCUUUAAUAAUGCCCCAGUGAUCAACAAUUAGCGCAUUUGUGAUCACUAAGUCUACGGUUUCAAAGCAUGAGGCUUGGCUUUGACCCAUACCAUCUCG